UACGGAGGGGGCUAGCGUUGCUCGGAAUUACUGGGCGUAAAGCGCGCGUAGGCGGACCUGCAAGUCGGGGGUGAAAGCCCGAGGCUCAACCUCGGAACUGCCUUCGAUACUGCGGGUCUCGAGUCCGGGAGAGGUGAGUGGAAUUCCUAGUGUAGAGGUGAAAUUCGUAGAUAUCUGGAGGAACACCGGUGGCGAAGGCGGCAUCCUGGACCGGUAUUGACGCUGAGGCGCGAAAGCCAGGGGAGCAAACGGG
rnacentral:rRNA from 1 species